rnacentral:rRNA from 1 species
AAGACCUUGCGCUUUUGGAGCGGCCGAUGUCUGAUUAGCUUGUUGGUAAGGUAAAAGCUUACCAAGGCUUCGAUCAGUAGCUGGUCUGAGAGGACGGCCAGCCACACUGGGACUGAGACACGGCCCAGACUCCUACGGGAGGCAGCAGUGGGGAAUUUUGGACAAUGGGGGCAACCCUGAUCCAGCCAUGCCGCGUGAGUGAAGAAGGCCUUCGGGUUGUAAAGCUCUUUCAGCCGGAACGAAACGGUUACGGUUAAUACCCGCGACUACUGACGGUACCGGAAGAAGAAGCACCGGCUAACUACGUGCCAGCAGCCGCGGUAAUACGUAGGGUGCAAGCGUUAAUCGGAAUUACUGGGCGUAAAGCGUGCGCAGGUGGUUUUGUAAGUCAGAUGUGAAAUCCCCGGGCUUAACCUGGGAACU